rnacentral:rRNA from 1 species
UACAGAGGGGGCAAGCGUUGUUCGGAAUUACUGGGCGUAAAGGGCGCGUAGGCGGCCGCCUAAGUCAGACGUGAAAUCCCUCGGCUCAACCGGGGAACUGCGUCUGAUACUGGGUGGCUUGAAUUCGGGAGAGGGAUGCGGGAAUUCCAGGUGUAGCGGUGAAAUGCGUAGAUAUCUGGAGGAACACCGGUGGCGAAGGCGGCAUCCUGGACCGAGAUUGACGCUGACGGCGCGAAAGCCAGGGAGCAAAGCGGG